rnacentral:rRNA from 1 species
UACAGAGGCCCCAAACGUUAGGCGGAAUCACUGGGCUUAAAGCGUGUGUAGGCGGUUCGGCAAGUCUCUAGUGAAAUCUCUGGGCUCAACUCAGAGUCUGCUGGGGAAACUGCCGGGCUUGAGUGUGGGAGAGGAGAGUGGAAUUCCCGGUGUAGCGGUGAAAUGCGUAGAUAUCGUAAGGAAGACCAGUGGCGAAGGCGGGUCUCUGGACAGUUCCUGACGCUGAGGCACGAAGGUCAGGGGAGCAAACGGG